UUAGUGGCGGACGGGUGAGUAACGCGUGGAUAACCUGCCGUAUACAGGGGGAGUAACACUUAGAAAUAGGUGCUAACACCGCAUAAGCGCACGGUUCCGCAUGGAACAGUGUGAAAACUACCGGUGGUAUACGAUGGAUCCGCGUCUGAUUAGCCAGUUGGCGGGGUAACGGCCCACCAAAGCGACGAUCAGUAGCCGGCCUGAGAGGGUGAACGGCCACAUUGGGACUGAGACACGGCCCAAACUCCUACGGGAGGCAGCAG
rnacentral:rRNA from 1 species